AGACAAUCCCUGCACACAGAUGGGGAGAACAUAUUCUAGCAGAUCAUCUGGAGCUUAAAAGCAAACCAAUAAUUGUAACAUAUGGGUGAAAGCUUUUUUGAGCCAGUGUGCAGCAAGUAGAAAACUGUAGACUGCUAAUAUCUCCAGUGAAUUUGAUCUCAAGAGCUGAUGGCCAACAUAUGUAUCAUCUAGCAACAAAAGGCUGACAACUGCCACUGACUUCCCUCUAUCUGAAGAAUCUUUGUAGAGAUGCUGGUGUGCUGGCUUCAGGUUGUCACCCCAUGUAUGGGCAGACUUCACUGCAUCUUCCUACAGUCAACACAGUGCAAGGGGAGGGGUAAUGAGAAGAUGGAGAGGAUCUGAGCCUCCUGCAAGCCCAGCCCUGGAACCUUGAUACAGUAGAACACCUCUCAUGGCUGCUCCUGCCCCAUGCUCCAGUGGAAGCAUCCCUCUGCAAACCCUCAUACAUCCCACCCAAGGGAAAAACAAUCAUCUCUCCAGACUUAAGAGAGACUCCUUGGAUGAAGUCAAGUUGGCACCAUUCUCUGCAAAGAUUUGAUACUGCAGUAUCUGCUUUGAGAAAAGGGAUGUAUUAGGCAUAUUCAAUAUGCUGGAAAUCACCUGGCAGACACCACUAAUUUCUGCAGUUGUUGACUGACAGGAACUGGUCUGUCACCAUCAUCCAUUUCUUAUUUCUUUGAUCAUUCUGUGUACAUGUUGCUUGUGCUGCAGCAGAAAUGCUGUUUCCUUCUGUGUCAUGUGCUGAUCACUUGGAUCACGAUGCUCCCCUCAUGUGUACUGCUGUGGUGCAUUACUGGCAUUGUACUGGUGUUGAUGAGAUUUAAAGAUGCUUCUUGCCUGCCUCUCUCAUACACUUAAUUGACCUGUCAGCUCUGGCUGCAUGCACAGCAGCUACUUGCAGAGUGAUUUGCAGGAGAUAUUGCUUCUGAAGUUGCUGACUGAGCCUGGGUGGAAUAGAAUGCCAGAAAAAUACGCAUUUGGGCUCAUGGGUGUUAAUAAAGGUAGCUUAAAUACUAUUACAAAACAACCCUCCCUUCCAAAACAAAAACAGCAAGUGAAAAAAGAAACCAGCAAACAAAACACAAAAAGAACACCAACCAAAACGCCUAAUAAAACAGGGGACUGGCAUACUGGUGCACCAUCCUAACAUCUCUUUGGAGCUACCUCAGUUCUCCUGGCCAGCACACUGAAUCACUGUUCUGAGGCUUUAAAAAACAGAAAAUCAAACCCAUCUCCUGUUUUACAUGACUUUGCUCUUUUUCUGGUAGAAAAAAAAUAUUCAUUCGAAAAAAACAUUUCCAAACAUCACGUAACAUGUUAGUUACAUGAAUCUUCUUACAGUAACAGAAUUUGGAACAAUAUAUUCUUGCAAAAGCAUAGAUUUUUUGGUUCUUCUAUACCAAAAAUAGAAGCAGCCAAAACAUAUAUUGACCUCAGUACUGAGAUUCCAAAUGCUUUUUCACUAAGCAGAAGAAUUUCAAUCUUUGAAGUCAGAUUAUGAAAAAUACUUGACAGUUUCAAGCUAGGAGCCUGAUCUUCCCUUCUGGUGUGGUCUGUGGAAAGAGGGACAGUCCUGGCACAUCUGUUGGGAAAAUUGUGGGUCUAGGCCACUCUUCCAGUGUUCUUGUUAAAAUAAAAUUGGCUAUGUUCAUAAAGGCUGCAAAGAAAUGUAGAAAAAAUAUUUCCAUGGCCAAACGCUUCCUUUUCAAAUAAAAUAUGGAUUAUGAAAUCUGAAAAAAAAAUCUGUUUUCUUUACCAGUAAACCCCCUCAGGAAGCAUUCUGGGCAUGGGGCCCAAUAAAAGUUAGCUCUGAAUGAACAAGACUGACAGUGGAAACAAGAUGAUUAGUUUGGCAUCUGGCUUUUCAAAAAAAUUAGUUAUUGAAGGUAAUUUGAGAAUACAUAAUGGAAAUACAGCUGUAUUUGUCAUGCUUUAUAAUAGUGGUUUGAACUUUGUCAUUGCAAAUGGUAAAAAUCUGAGCUAGGCUCUCAAAGUUAAAGUGUGUCUUCACUAGGUGAUUCUUUAUGGUAAGGAUGACAGUGGAUUAGAAGUUGAGGCUGGUACUAUAAAUGAAUUUACUUAGUGAUAUGUUGUGGAGUACCUUGAGUGUUCUUAUUAUAUUUGGGUAGAUGAACUACACAGAACAGUAUGCUCAUGUUUGUGUUUUGCAGUCAAUGAAUAGUGAGGAGAGUUAGAGUGCAGAGUUCUUGUGUGGUUCCUUCCUGCCAUGUUUGUUGCAUAGAUGGCAGUGGUUGCAGAAGGAUAAAAGCAUGCACUGAGUGCAUGAAGAGAUGGGGAGGCAGCAGUAGACUUUUGGGGAGCUAGGUAGAAAUUUUGUACCUGUUGCCACUGGACACUACAGACCUUUCCAAACAAAUCACCACACACUCUAGUUGUGAAACCAGGCAGGUUUGCAGAGGCCAUGGGUUCACUGAACUGUUGAUCACACAUCAUACUUGCCUGUGAUGGCAAUAAUGUAUUUAUGAAGGCUGUCUUUUCAAUGGUGUGCUGUAUGGCAAGAAGACCUCUUUUAGGUGCACAGGCACAAAGAAGUAGAGGUAUCUGAGAAGUGGCUAUAAAAACACUGAUGACUUCAUCAUUCAUUUUGUUCCCUUAUUCUUUUAGACCAUAAUGAGGGUUUAUGUCUAACUUGUACAAACAGCAGAACGCUAAAUGUAAUUCUUUUUUUUUUUUUUUUUUUUUUUUUUUUUUUAGCUUGAAUUACUCUAUUAAGAAGUGUGAGAGCAGGGGGGAAUCUAUUGUGUUCCUGAUUAUAUGAUAGAAAUGUCUUUCUCCAAAUCACAUUAUAUUGUCUCAUACGUGGAGAGCAGGAAAGUGCAGAGUUGAACUUUGACAAAAGAUUCUCCACAGUUACUAUAAAUUUUAGGCUUGUUGACAAAGCUAACUAAAAGGAUAUAUAUUCUAGCAAAUACAUAGUUUAAAAAGUGAAGUGUUCACAUAACUGCUUGCAGGUUGUGAUGAGCGGAGACCAGGUGGACACACCUUGAGCUGGCUUGGUGUGUCUGUACCCCAGCUUCAAACUGAGCGCACAAAAGCAUCACCAGGGCUUUUUAUAACCUUACUGAAACAAUGGUGAAAUAGGUAAAACUUUUUAAAUCUUGCUUGGACAAAUUCACUUAAUGCCUUAAAAAUAUACUUGCCUGUGCUCUGUGCUCCCUGCAGAAUGUCUCCUUUUCUCCAGGUUUGUUUUAGGUCAAACAGCUCUCAAGGACUUUCUGGUUUGAAACAAAUUCCACAGUCUCUCCUGCAUCCCAGGAGAGUCCUUCUGUCCUUUCUUCUUUGAAGUCUGGCCAUUUGUGCCUGCUUUAAAUUCUCCUAGGGUGCACAGCUUAUUAAGAAGGCUGAGCCAAUCUGACAAAUGCCCCUCUUUGUCCUCCCAGUUUCCCUGUUCUGGCACUUACCACAGCCCAGGGUAAAUUGAUCCAAUGAGAUAAAACAGCAGAAAAUUGACCCAACAGCAGGAAAAGCAUUUUUUUCCAGCAAGUUUAGCUUGCUGAUCAAAGCCCACUGAAGGUCAGGCAGAUGCCAAUGCCAUCUGAAAAGAUAUCUGGAGCACUUGUGGAGGAGGAAUGCCUGUCCUCCAGGAUUUCUCCAGCUGGAGGCUGGCUAGCCACUGCCUGUCCUUCCCUAUACAUCAGAGCAUCCCUCACACUGCAGAUGGGAUCCUGAGGUGCUCAGCUUUGACCCCAGCCCUACAGCCAGAUGUGCCAAAAUAGCAGCUAUCCUCCUGGUUCCUGAGCACAAAUAAAACAGGUUUGCCAUCCAUCAGGGGAGCAUCUCCACUGUGCUAUAACCUCUCCCAUGCAUUAGCACCAUGCACUGCAGGCAGCAAACAGCAUGAUAGCACUGUGUUUAUGGGAGCGCUACGUUAGGAGUCGUAACAACAAAAUGCAAUCUGCAGUCUGCUCUAGCUGUGGUGUGUGCAUUCCCUAUGUCAUUUCUUCCCUAUCUUUGUUUUUGAAUGCUUAACCACAAUCCUCAGCGAUUAAUGAAAAAUUCUGCUAAAAUAGGGGAAAAAGCUGCUUCAUGUAAAAUUCUUCUUUCAGUGAAUUACUAUUAUGUUGCAGACGGCAGUAAUAGCAAGUAAACGAUUCCGUAUUAUUGUAAUGCUGAUGAUUACUACUCAUUUCUGCUCACCAAAACAAAGGAAAUAAAAAAAUUGCCUUCUGUCUUCAAUCCCUCCUCAGAUCAAAUCCCCUGGGCUUCGCUCCCGACCUGCACCUGCCUUACAUCAGUGCAGGCCAUUGAUUUCACUGAGGCAAUACUCCAUUUGCACCAGUGCCCAGGACUGAAGAAUCAGGUUCUGGCUUUUUAUAAGGUUCGGCAUACUGUCUUGAAACCAGACAAAAUUAGCCAGAAUUUGUGAAUUGGUUAUUCUUUGCCUGCUGAAACGAGGCAACGUCUGUAUGCACUGCUUUGAGAAUCUGUUCUUUUUGUUUUGGAACAGAUGUCUGGGAGGGAUUUUGGCAGGGCCCACUCUGUCAAACAGUCCGGCUUUGACAGUUACUUGCUUGAGGGAUGGCUGAAAUGCAAAGCAUUUCUGAUCAGAAUAUCAUAUUCAUCUGGAAGUUAAUUACUGUGUCUGCCUUGGUAUAAAUAAUUAAUUAUGCAAAACCCACACAGCUGUGGCUGGACAGAGUUAAGUGACUUGCUGUCAAUGUCUCAUGGUUCUAGAGAGGAUGAAGGGAUUUAGAAAAUAAGCUCUUUAACUCUUGGGCCACACUGUUGAGGUAGCCCUUCGCAGCCAGAUGAGAAUAUGAUUACCACUGUGCAUGCUUUUUCACAAAAGGACAUUUCCUAAUUUAGCUUGGUCGGGCCCCCAGUAGUAAUCUCUUCUCAGUGUUGUUGCUGUGUCAAGAUAAGAACACAAACACAUCAGAUUGUUUUAGGGAAAUGCAUUUGCAAAGCCACUUUGGCUGCACAGUCACGUUCAGAGCAAUCAUCAACCAAAACAAUGUCUGCAUUUGAGUGUGUGCAUGCAUGAGAGUGAGCAAAGAGUGAAGCCACAUGGGUGUAAUUAUCAACCUGUCUCAUUUUAUUGCCAACAGAGGUAAGAAAAGGGACAAAUUUACAGGAAUUUUGAAUAUUAUUGACAGCAGUAGUCCAUAUUCUGAUCUGAUAAACAAUGGACUGGCUCAUGGGUUCAGUCAUUGUCAAAUAGAGAGCAUGUCAGGAAAGCGAGCGUAGGGAGAUGCGACUUGCUAUAUGUCCCUUUAUGGGGUUGUCUCCAGUAGACCAUGGAUUUUAAAAGUACAACUAGAAGCACCAUCCAGGCUCAUCUGUGAUAAGUAGUUUCCUGCACGUAACUGUAGUUUUCCAAAAUAUUUUUGCCUGUAGCAUUAGAUAAAAAGAAAAGCUUAUUAAAUUUGUCUAAUAUCUUGUUGUAGGCAAACACUGCUGAGCUUACUGCAGUGAAAUAAACUGCUGCAACCCAGAGGACAUUGUUUUUACUUACAGAUGAUCAAGUGACAUUAUAAUUCAUCAGGAUGAGUAUAGAUCUCAUCACAUAUCCAUCGUUUCUGUUAAGUAAUGCAAAGCUCUGUAAACAUCUAUCUACCCAAAUGAGCAGGGAGAAAAAGUGUGUGAAAGCAUUAAUACAGAAAAUACUUAUCUGUAAUCCUUCCUGGCCUUUGACUGUCAAUCACCCGCGCUGAACUUUGGUCUCCUUAUUUUCUAACUGUAUUAUAAAAAUGAAUUGAAUUUUCUAUAGAAUCUUUCAUAUUCCAAAGUGGUGAAUACAGGAGUUGAGAGUGUAAGCAAAUGCGGAAGCAAUUACAUACUUAGCUCUAAUUCACAUCUAACCUUGAACACUGUAACAUGUGCAAAGUAAUGGAUAGUAGAAAAAUGUCUUAUGCUUUUAACUAUAAGUGUUCCAGACCUUCUACCUACCACUUGCCAGGGCACUGGUGACAGACAGGACAGGAUAUUUGUAAAAAAAUUACUUUUUUUUACAGUAUAAGUCAUAAAUAUUCAAACCACAGUGUAGUGUGCACAAGGAUAAUAUCAAAUGAGUGGCAGUAAUAUUUGGGCUGUUCUUCCAGCAAGAAGCCAGGCUCCUACUGAAAAUCCACACGCUGACUUGUGAUCAGUCCCCUUACCUCGUUAUUGUUAACAUGCACCCUGGCACAGCCUUGGCCCUGACAAAUUAUGCUCUUCCAGUUCAGUCAAUUACACUGAGCAAAAACCUUUCAUAACAGGGAGUGUUCAUGAGGUCACCUGCAUUUUUAGAAGACAACUGUCUAGUUGUGUAGUAUUUAUUUUCAGGGCAGAGGAUGGGCCAGGCUUGGGAGCCACCAGUGGAAGUUCAGCCACUCUAUCUUUUAACCCAAAUGCUUGCAUGUACAUUGUCUUCAGCUUAAAAACUCAAAUAUAAGCAUUAUCAAAAACUAUGAUAGAGCUCAGCAGAGACAUGUCACUUCUGCCAAAGGUUGCAAGCCUGAGGAAAAAGAGUUAGCAUUACUUCUGUGUUGCCAAAAGCAGUACUUGAAAAACACACACUAUUUUACAUUGAAGAGCUCCCCUUCUGAGCAAACUUGAUGUGUCUGCUUGCUGUCAUUUCUGACAAUGGCAACACCUCAUGUCCCUGGAAGUAUUGUUCAGCAGUCAUCUCCUAAUUUAUUUUAAACAUCACUGGAAAUUACUAGUAAGGGGACAGGAAUACAAGAAGAAAAAGAAGUUUUAGGAUCCUAAAAUAUAGUCUCGUAAAGUUUCUUCUGUUUUCCAAAUUCCUGGGGGAGAAGAAAAGGAAAAAAAAAAAAAAGGGGGGGGGGGGGGGGUGGACUGGAGGGAAUCCUUUAAUUAUCUGCCAAAAUAUGGCAAGAAACCUUGUUGGUCUCAGUUUGGCACUGCUAACAAAGGAUCUCAGCGCAAGGUUAUCUUAGAAAGCAAUUUUUACCCACAGAUAUAUUGAAUUCUAGUAUCCUCACUGUUACUGGCACGUCUGAGAUUCUUAUCCUUUAGGCAGAUUCUGAAGUUUUGUCACCCUGUACUGUGGUACAUUACCAGGAUAUCCAACUUUGCUGGCACCACACAGCCCACUCAUCCUUCUCCCUCUCCCCCAUGCAGUCUGUUCACAUCUUUCUUAGUCUGUGUGCUUAUGCUCAUUUAUCUUCCUUCAUCCAUCUGUAGUCAGAGUUCUCCCACCAUUCCUACGUCUUGGGGCAGCUCCUUAGCACAGUUUCUGUGUUCUGUAGUGUUCAUCCUACUCCCCAGCUCGGCAAUUCCUCUUUGGCAGGCCAGUCUUGCACACAUAACAUCACCCAUCACCCAUGUGCACUCUGCAAUGUUAGACCUUCCUCACUAUUUAAAUCACAGCAUCCUGACGUCUUCCUAAAUGGGUCAGCACUUGACCCCUGCUCCCAGAUCUCAUCCAGCUAUAUUUGUAACAAAGACUACAUAUUAUAAAGAUAGAUAUAAAGAUUGAGAGGAUUGUGGCUGUAGGUGCUGCUGUGGGCUUUAUUUGUUCUCAUAUGAAAUUGUUUGAAAAAAGCAUAAAUAUUUUCAUAUUCAAUAUAUCUAUCUAUAAAUGCAUAUAUGUAAGUAGGUAGAUGUCUAUACACACAUAUCAAAUAUAUAUACAUAGAUUUAUAUGUAGGUUUUCGGGGCAUUUAUGUAGUCUACAACAGGUCUUUUCUGUUUUAGUUAUUUAAAGAAUGUUAACAAAAAUACAUUGAGGAACUAGACUAUUGAGAGGCUUAUGUUUCUGAUGAGCUGGCAUUUCUGCAGUUUUCAGCUUCUGCACUUAAAUCUUCCCCACCUCACAAAGUAGAUAUCUUAGGUGUUCUGUGGAACUGAGCUUUAAUUUCAAGUUUUCCAUUUAGACAUGAUUUAAAUAAUGAGGUCGUGAGGCCAAACUGAUUCUUGUAACUAUCUGAAAUGCAGUGGAAACAAAGCCAUGUAAACACUUAGAUAAAUAAAAAUGAACAGUAGAUAGGUAAUACAGUUUUUAUAUCUUCUCUAAUUUGGGGUAUGAUUUUAGCAGUUUAUUAAGAAUAAUUUAUUCAUUUCUCAAGCCACAUCCCAUUUGAAUCCUUCCUUUCUGCUGUGCAUCUUUGUGUAAGUCAAAGUGUGUUAUCAGUGUCUAGGGACAAAGCUCACAUAGGCAUCUGGACAAGGCUCACAGGGCAUAACUGAAAGCUUUAUUGAGGCAACAGGCAUGUCUUACUUCUCCGGGGGGUCUCCACUUGCUGAUGAAACUGCAUGAAAACACUGAUAGUUUCCUACAGGACUUGGGUUGAGAAUGGAUUCUCUCAAUGCAUUUUAAAUGCAUAUAUGUUUCCUAGGAUACUCUUGUGUCCUUUGGGAUAAGAAAGGGUAACAAUUUCUCCAUUAUGUUCAUGUUCUUCCCUCAGGCCUUAGCUGGUGGAGAAUUUUACCUCACCUACCUCUGACUCUAAGUGAGGUGUUCUUAAAUUUACAGCCAUUCUCUGUCAUAGUUCAAUAAAUCAGCAGGGUCACUGGAAUUGUAUUUGUUAUGCGUGCAGGCAGAUGUACACUAGAGACAAGUAUAUUCCUUAAAAUGGCGUGAGGGAUUAAUCUGCCUCAGUCUCCUCAAAAAUGAUCCCUUGGGGAUCCUUUUGGCCUAGCCACCUUACCCUCACACAGUACCUAAUGCUCACAUGUAGCACUGCAAAGUCUUACCAAGAACUACCUAUUUCAGUGAUAUUACCAGGAGCUUCUGAUAAAGUGACUUCAGCAUGUAAUACAUUAUUAACAGGAAAGAAACAUUGUGCCUUCCCAUUAUAAACCUCUGCUCCCAGCUCCCAGCAGGAGCAAAGCAGGUCACUAAGCGACUAUUAACCAAUAGCUGACAGCUAAUUGAUUUUACACGUGUGUAUCAGUGCUUGCAAACCAUAAUUUAAAAGCUAAUUUGCUUUGUACUUUUAAUAUCAUGGCAGUCUUGUAUCCUAUCUUACAAAGUGUGAGCUCAUCACAGUCCAUCAUUUUUACUGCUGCUGGCCCCAAAACUGGUCUUUUGCAAAUUUGUACCCUAUAACACUCUUAUCUCAUAACCCAAAUGCAAGAAAGAGCCCUCCAGCACCAGUUGUCCCAUGGAGACAUCAAUGGAGAGUUUUCAAAACUGAAGCCACUUUAGGGUAGUUUUAAUGAGGUAGCAUUUGCUAAAGCAUGACUGACAGAAAUAAUAAGUUAGCACUUACAAGGGAACCCUCAGAAAUUGAACUACAGCAGGCAAAGUGCCAGCAGAAAUUGUUGUGCUGUUGAAAAAUCUCCUAAAAUAUCUCUCCUAGCUCUGUCUAAUGCAAUUAAAGUUACUGAUGUACAUAAUAGGAAAACUGGGAGCUCUUCCUGUUAAUAACCACUAUGUAACUGAGGUAAUCCAUUUCAUUAAUUUAAUAUACACUUUCAUAUCCCCUGAUAAUAGAUGUAUAAUUAAAGUGAUAGGAUUUGCAUUCCAAAAUGAAAGUUUGCGAAGAAUAGUUCUAUAAAAACAAGACAAUUUGCUAAAUUAUUUCUCUCUUUUUUUUUUAUUUUGGUUUACACUUUAAUUUUAAUAAAACAAUAGUAGUGAAAUUCAGAACAAAUUGAUAUUUGUGUUGAUAAAUUUUAUCAGUAAAUAAGUGCAGUGUCUGAUGCACAGACUCAGAUGUGAACGAUCCAAAUCUCUUAUUACAAGUUCUCACAUCACUUACAUACCUUCACAAGUUUUCUUUUUCUAGCUUUCCCAUCCGCCCUUACAACUUUCCCAUCCACCUUUACAUGUCAACAGAGCAUUCUACAAACACUCUUCAAUUGUUCAUGCGGGCGCUUAUCCAAUCAGAGCCAUGAGCCGUUCUUUCUUCUUCUAGAGGUGUCCUUGGUUAUCAUGCUGUUUAUCUUGCUCCACAGCUGCUGCUCUGAACAGUUUUUCUUGCAUUUCCACAAAUAAGCACGUUGUCCAUUUUCAAGGAAAGAGCAACUGAUUGUGGGAGGAGUCACUGCUGUUGAUAAAGAUGCACACUGUGGGUGGAAAAGGUCCAUAUUUGAUGUGUUAUUUAAUACUAUGUGGAAGUGAAUAUCCUAAUAAGAUUGAAACACAUUUGUUUCAGAAUUAUAACAUUGUGACAAGAUCUCUAAGCUCUUGACUAGAACAUAAAAUAAUAUGAAAGCCAAGAAGGCAGAUUUUAGGUAGAGAUAUGAAAAAUAUCUAAAGGAACACUGAAGCUGAAGAAAUGAUGCAUAAGAUUUCAGGGGGUUAGAAGCUGACGGGAAAAUUAAAAGAUUGAGUGAGAGUAUGGUUAAGUUUUGGGAAAAGAGGAAAGCUACAACAGUGGCUAUUUAUACAAAUAUAUUUUUGUGUAUGUUCAUAUGUAAUUUACAGGGAGAUAUAAGACUUGCAAAAUUGCAUGGAAAAGGCAAAGAAAAAUAUGAACAUGCUGACAGAUGAAUACAACCACAAUAAGUCAAAUGUGUAAUUGUCAUGAAAAUAAAAGGGAAAAAAUGACUUUUAACAAAGCUAAAUAUUCGUGUAACCAAAUGAGUUAAAUAAUUACUUACUAGAAAAGAAGUAGAUCUACCAUCAAUUCAGAAGCUGUGGUAAUGUUGGACUGUAUAGAUUUUAUCUUGUGAUGAUAUGACACGUUAAUAUAAAGUGUAACAAGAUCUUAUGUUGCUCAUGAAGUAAUAUUCCCUUCUAAAGACAAGUGUACCUGAAAAGCUAAGCUCUUUCCUUCACCAUUUUUGCAAAUGAAUGGAAACUCUUAAUAUAUAUAUACAUAAUACAUACAUACAUACAAAUGGAGUUUUGAAAACUGUAUUGUGAAAUAAAAAUACAUUUCAUUCUUUGUGGUUGUACACUAGGAAUGAGUCUUAUCAGCAACUUCUGAAUAUCUCUGUGGAAAGACCAUUGGGAAAUACAGGCAUUAGUGAAAAUAUUAAGGUGUGUAAAAUGUUAAAACGUAAACUGAUAUGAAUUUUCUAGUAGUACCAAUCAUUUAAAGAUCCAGAAGCAUGAAAAUCCCUCAGUGUUUAUGGCCUUCUUUUCUGUGUUCAGUGUACUGGCAAAGAAACCUCUACAACUUGAGGCCAGCUCUGUUUACUCAGUGCUUACAUCCAUCACCUCACCUGAGGGCUACAUUUGAUGCUUUUUGACUCCUUCUUCCUCCUUUGGAGAAUCAUAGAAUGGCCUGGGAUGAAAAGGACCACAGUGAUCAUCUAGUUUCAACCCCCUUGCUAUGUGCAGUGUCGCCAACCAUCAGAUCAGGCUGCCCAGAGCCACAUCCAGCCUGGCCUUGGAUACCUCCAGGCAUGGGGCAUCACAAUCUCCUUGAGCAACCCGUUCCAGUGUGUCACCACCCUCUGAGUGAAAAAUUUCCUCCUAAUAUCUAACCCAAACCUCCCCGAAGAGGGAAAGUGAAUGAAAAUUUGAUAUCACAUUUUUUACUUCUUUAAAAAAAGAAAAGGAAAAAAAAAAAAAAGGUAGUUAUGAAUGCUUUGUUAGUGGUUGUCUGUGCACCAACAGUGAUGCCCCAAGGAAAGGGAAGCUGCAGCAUGGCUGGUGUUGGCAGGCAUAGGGAAGCACCCUAUGGGAGAGCAAUUUUACUCAAUCUCCCAAUUUCUCAUUUCUAGUGUUUUAACCUCUUCAAAAUCUAGAUUCAGUUUGGUUUCUUAGGAAAACUUGUUACCUUUGCCAAUAAGCGCACAACAGAGUAAAAAAUCUAUGAGGUGGGAACUAGAUCUGUAUUCAGUCAACUCAUUAUCAAAGAUCAUUGUUAAACUAAUACAUGAAUCAUUAAAAAUAUAUUGGAUGUAAAGAGCUUAUAAUCUAUAUUCAGUUGGCUAAUAUAUACUCUAAGCCAUUUGUUCCCUCAAUGACUGCUACUAAUUGUCUGUACAAUUGUUACUUACACGGCCACAAAUUUGACAUAAUAAAUACAGAUGUGUAAAGUACAGAAAGGCAAAAGUGUAGAAAUGAGAAGUCAAGGCACUAGAUACGAAUAUACAUUACCUGUCUCUUAGAGAAGCAAGAAGUCCUCCUGGUUCCCAGGGCUGCUCUCAAGAUGGCAAAUUUUUCAUUGAACUGAACUUCUAGGAGAAACUGACAUUGUUCCAGGUUCCUUUCUCUAUUAAAAAAAAAUAAUAAUAAAAGAAAAAAUAAAAAAAAGAAAAAAUUUGCAAAAUCUGAAAAAGCAAAGCAGGAAAAUUUUAUAUUUGGUAAAAAAAGAAACAACAGGAAUGGCCCCAAGCACCCAGAGUUUGACCUACUUAUUUAAAUACAGGCUGUAUGAUAUAUUUUAUAUGGGUAAAAAAGAUCAUUGUGUUAUUCCAUGCAGCUGGCCGUCUUCCACUUCCGCUGGCAGAGAGCAGUCCCAACUUGCCCAUGUGUAGAUCUCUUUGCAACUCCUGAACAGUGUUGUUACUGUGAACCCAAAUUAUUUUGUUUCACUUGAAUGAAAAUAAUUCACUUCCGCAAGAUUUUUCUAUUAUGGUUGCUGUAAAGGACACGUGCUGUUUGACUGUCAGGUGUUGUUUUUCCACACAGUGGUGCUUUCUGUGUAGCAUGAAACAGAUGCAGUCUUCAGGGUGGACAAGCUGACAGUAUACAUGGGAACUUACUCAUGUGGUAGGGAAAAGUACAAAGAGCUGUAUUUUGCAUGUCCAAGUAAGGAAUCAAUAAAAUGACUGCUUGAGUGCUCUGCAGUUUCAACAGAUGGAGAUAAAGAUGAGAAAAAGUUUCUGAAAACUGUAUUUUAGUUAUUUUGGCAAAGAUAAAGCUUGAUUUUCCAACCUUCUAUUGCUCAGAUGUGAACUUUCCCUAUAGUGAUGCAAGAUACAUCAAUCAGCUGGACCUAGGAUAUUGCUAGAUUUAACAGUAUUAAAAGAAAUAUUGCUGUUGUAACUCUAAGAGCUGUCGUAGGUUAAGAUCUGGCUUUUAACUGCCAGUUGCUCUGUGCACAGGAACAAUAUUUUGGGUCAGACCUUGAAGUGGUCAGUGAUAAACACCAGAGGAAUCUUGAGGCUCCAAAAUAUAGAACAAUUCUCACUUAGCUUUUCCUCCUUCCUCCUGAAUAACUACAGAAUGACUCAAGCUCUGAAUCAGGAAAUUUUUUCUUUUGAAGAACGUAUAUACAAAACUUAUAUUUCAUUUCUCAUUUGUCCUAGUUUCUUUAUUUCAAUAAUUUCCUUUUACUGUGAGUUCUAUUGCUUAAUUACCUGAUGAUAAUUAGACAUGAUUUCUGAGAUAUGAAUAUAUGGGAAAGCAAUAAAAAGUACACACAAGUAGAUCUAGAAAAAAUAAAUAAAUAAAUGCCAGAAAUUCCUUUCAAUUUAUCAAAGAGAGACUAAUAGACAAGGCCUGAUUCAUUGCAUUUAUUAUCUCACUAUGAAAAAUAAAUCCCAGUCCCAAGCAAUGAUGAGUUCUCUUAUUUUUAAGUCUGUCUGAAAUGACUUUAGGUAUUCCACAUCACAAAUAUUCCAUACAUGGAAAACAUGGUUAUCUGAUCAGCUGAGUUGUUGUGCUAGAGCCAAACAUGAAUUAGAGCCUCUGCAAAGGUAGCUCAGAAGCAAGUUCAGUCACUGCUAGAAGAUUAACCUGAAGCAGCCUAGUCUAGUGGGAAGUGUCCCUUUCUAUGACAGAGGGGGUUAGAACUAAAUAAUCUUAAAUUUCCCUUCCAACCCAAAUCAUUCAAUAAGUUUAUGAUUCUGUGAUCAAGGCUUUCUUCUCAGAAAAGCUUGUGAGUAAGUAGGGACAAGGCCAUCAACACCAAAAAUAGGACGAUACUGGCUAACAAAAGAAUUACACAGAAUUUCUUUGGAGGUAGGCAGAUCUACUUGACCUAUUUGAGCAAUACAUGACCAAGUCUAAUUGGCAAUAUCUGUCUCUUUAUUUCAGUAAAAUCACGGAAAAUGUUACAAAAAACAGUCAGCUUCUGAACUAUCAUCACGAAGUCUCAUAGAAUAGAAACAGCAAGUCCAUUCCUACAACAUUCUCUGUUAGCUACUGCUCUGCUUAAUUAAGCAAGAUUCUCUCACUACCUAAUUAGACAGUCUGGAAGUGGUUCAGAACCUCCUUUCCCUACCUCAUGUCAAGUGACUACUCCUAACUCUGAUGGGGUUCUGCAAAUCAGAGCUUUGAGAUGGAUUUGUCCUUUUUUGCUUGAAGUCCACACAGAAGGGACUUGAGUUUAUAUCUGAACAAAAACUAGGAUAAAAAGAGAAAACUCAAAGUGUGUCAGAAUAGCCAAGAACGAAUUUGUAAACUAAGCGUCUCUUCCCUCACUGUGUCCUUAGCAGAGUGGUGUAAGAACAAGCAGGUCCCUGUAGACAAGCCUGAAGAGUCUGACCCGUAGUCCUGCAACUUCCCUAUGAUUCUCUGAGUUUUAACAAAUCUGAGUGGUCCCUGCAGUCCUAAGAGGCUCCAUCUGCCAUCUUCUCUGGGGUCUUCAUGUAUGUCUGAACUCAUCUACCUCACCUCUGCCUAUCUGUCAGCUUCCUGAUUGCUGCCACCUCCCAUUCCAUUCCAUUUUACCCAGGAAAAUGCUCCCUGUUGUGCAUGUUGGGUGGUCCUCAGGGAAGGCACAAAGUACUCACUUUCAGGAUGGUUUCUCCUAUGUGUACAAAAGGAACAAGUGUAAUCACCACAGCCUUUACAGGAACACAGUAGGAGUAUGUACUGGACAGACCCGAUACUCUGCCACACAAAUGGGCUUUUUGUGACAAAAUGUCACUUUGCUGUCAUGCUCUAGUGAGCCACCUGGCAAGAGCAUGCAGCUUCAAUCAAUUUCUGAACAUUAGCACUACUUUAGUUACUGAGACAGAGGUAGACAGAGUGACCAUUGAUACAGAAGAGUGGAAGAACGGGAGAAUAAAUUAGUUAUAUGUCCUGGUGUCAGAGCUUGCUAUUGGGAUCUAUGGCAAGUACAUAAAAGGAGAAAGGAAAUGGGAGAACUAG
rnacentral:lncRNA from 1 species